rnacentral:rRNA from 1 species
UGGGGAAUAUUGCACAAUGGGCGCAAGCCUGAUGCAGCGACGCCGCGUGAGGGAUGACGGCCUUCGGGUUGUAAACCUCUGUUAGCAGGGAAGAAGAGAGAUUGACGGUACCUGCAGAGAAAGCGCCGGCUAACUACGUGCCAGCAGCCGCGGUAAUACGUAGGGCGCGAGCGUUGUCCGGAAUUAUUGGGCGUAAAGAGCUUGUAGGCGGUUUGUCGCGUCUGCUGUGAAAGGCCGGAGCUUAACUCCGUGUAUUGCAGUGGGUACGGGCAGACUAGAGUGCAGUAGGGGAGACUGGAAUUCCUGGUGUAGCGGUGGAAUGCGCAGAUAUCAGGAGGAACACCGAUGGCGAAGGCAGGUCUCUGGGCUGUAACUGACGCUGAGAAGCGAAAGCAUGGGGAGCGAACA